UGUUAAGGAAGGAAAGAGAGAACUGUUGCAUCCCAUCUGUUGGCUGAUAGCUCUUGGAGGUUUCUGUCCAGAAACCCUUGGAAAAUGGGUUUAGUGACUGGAGCCUGCCCUCUUCAGCUGUUGCUUCAGAGAACUAGUUUCAUGAAGUCAGGAUAACAUACAUAACAGAACAAGCCAUGGAGCCAUACCUAACAUUUCCUGGGCUUAGAUCCACUCUGAUAAGAUACAGACUCAAUAACCUGUGGGACAAAACUAUGGCCAUGUUGACUUUAGAGGCAGCUGCUCUUACCAAGAAUGUUGUGUUGCAUCGAAGUUUUUCGACCAGUAUACUCUUCCCCUUCUUGCACUUCUUUUUCGUUUUAUUUGAGCCUUGAAUGAUCAGCUGUAACAACCUUACUUUAAGCUCUGGUUGUGUGACCAAUCCCUGCACAUUUCAUGUGUCUGAUUAUUUCUUUGGUCUUGACUAAUUCACUUUUGCACGUCUUCAUCAGUCACCCUCUGAAACCAAUAAAUUCUUAGCCUCCUGCAAAAAAUCCAUCUAUGAGGGGGACAUGUAUAUAAUUAGAUAUGGCAAGGUUUCUCUUUGGAAUAUUUGAUCCCAAGGGAAAGGGGGUACCAAAACUGUGGGAACAAAGUAACUGGCCCAAUUCAUCCAUCCCUACAAUUUUGCAAAAGACAGGUUCCCAUGUAGGUAAUCUACAUUUCUGA